rnacentral:rRNA from 1 species
AACGAACGCUGGCGGCGUGCCUAAUACAUGCAAGUAGAACGCCGUUGCGAACGGGUGAGUAACGCGUCGGUAACUGCCUCAUAGCGGGGGAUAACUAUUUGAAACGAUAGCUAAUACCGCCUACUUUGGGCUGGACCUGCUUUGUUUUAGCUAGUGGGUGAGGUAAAGGCUCACCAAGGCGACGAUACAUAGCCGAACUGAGAGGGUGAGCAGCCACACUGGAACUGAGACACGGCCCAGACUCCUACGGGAGGCAGCAGUAGGGAAUCUUCGGCAAUGGACGGAAGUCUGAUCGAGCAACGCCGCGUGAGUGAAGAAGGGUUUCGGAUCGUAAAGCACUGUUGGUAGGGAAGCGGUAACGAACAAGAAGGGGACGGCUAACUACGGGCCAGCAGCCGCGGUAUAUC